AUCCUUUGGAUGUCCUGCAAGAGAAACUGGAGAGAAACGAUGACCCUUGAGACAUUCCACCUCCUGGAUGAUCACUUUGACCCCCAUUACUAUCUCCAGAUAAUCCUAUGACGUCUCUUCUUACACCUGAUGGGAAAGAUCUCUGAAGGUAAAUGAAAAUGCCCGACCAACACACACAUCUUAGUCACAAGAAAAAAGGGAAAAGAACAUAUGCCUAAUCAAACUGGCAGUACAACUCAAGCUUGGAAGAUGUACACUGCCAAAAAAAGCAAAAAAGGUCCUGUUGAUCAAGCAAGUGUCAACGACACUUUCCACCUUAGGUGAAAUAACAGAUGGUCAGUUCUCUAUUUCCCUUCUCCUCAUUAGAUCCAUUCCAUUCCUUUUUUUUUUCUUUUUCUUCAUUCCAUUUCAAGUUAAACCUAAAAGUGAAGAUAUUGAAAAAAGCUACUCAAGGACAUUUAAGCAAUUUAUAGAUCCAUACAAACUCUCCAGAAGUAGGACUCAUGAUCUUUUUAUGACCUUAUCCUGAAUGUCAUGUAAACAAACGUAGUUGGAGCCAAAAGCAGUAGAUUCAGUGCACAAACAAUUCGAUGUAAAGAACCUUCUCUAGUUUCUCUGCAAAUAUUGGUUGAUAGAAGAGAAUAUAGGGAAAGAGAAAAGCAAUGAAAGAAGGGACAGAAAUCUUAUAUUUGGUUUCAUCUCACCUUG